AAAGCCACGUGUUAUCUACGGUGCCCAAAACUAAUCUCUCUUACUUGGUCGUCAUGACAUUUUCUUGAGCAUCCUAUCCUCCCCUCCCCUCCCCUUCCCCACCACAAUCCAACUUGGCAUCAAUAUUUAUAUUCCUUCUGCGUAUACUUUUGCGUAUGAUAUAGAGGAGAAGAAGAAGAAAAAAAUCAAAGCUUUUCGAAGAAAGAUUUUUGGGUUUCUUGGUAGUAUUCAAAAAUGGAUCACGAAAGCGAGGCUCACCGGACUGAUCUCAUGACAAUCACGCGUUUCGUCCUCAACGAGCAGUCUAAGUUUCCCGAGUCACGCGGUGACUUAACCAUCUUGCUCAAUAACAUUGUUCUCGGCUGCAAAUUCGUCUGCAAUGCUGUUAGCAAGGCAGGUCUUGCGAAACUGAUCGGGCUAGCCGGAGAAACUAAUAUUCAGGGUGAAGAGCAGAAGAAAUUAGAUGUGCUUUCAAAUGAAGUUUUCAUCAAGGCUUUGGUCAGCAGUGGACGCACGUGCAUCCUUGUAUCUGAGGAAGAUGAAGAAGCUACUUUUGUGGAGGUAUCGAUGCGAGGAAGAUAUAUUGUUGUUUUUGACCCAUUGGAUGGAUCCUCAAACAUCGACUGUGGCGUUUCCAUUGGAACUAUAUUCGGGAUUUACAUGGUGGAAAACACUGACAAUCCAACUUUAGAGGAUGUGUUGAAACCUGGGAGCCAUAUGACAGCUGCUGGGUAUUGCAUGUAUGGAAGUUCUUGCACGCUGGUUUUUAGCACUGGAAGCGGUGUCAAUGGCUUCACUCUAGAUCCAUCGAUUGGGGAAUUCAUAUUAACCCAUCCUGAUAUCAAGAUUCCAAAGAAAGGAAAGAUUUAUUCAGUAAAUGAAGGAAAUGCCAAAAACUGGGAUGAACCUACUGCUAAAUAUGUAGAAAAUUGCAAGUUCCCAACAGAUGGUUCAUCCUCAAAGUCACUUAGGUACAUUGGAAGCAUGGUUGCUGAUGUCCACCGAACAUUGCUUUACGGUGGUAUCUUUUUGUAUCCUGCUGAUAAGAAGAGCCCAAAUGGAAAGCUACGUGUUUUGUAUGAAGUCUUCCCAAUGUCAUACUUGAUGGAGCAAGCAGGAGGCCAAGCUUUUACUGGCAAGCAAAGGGCACUGGAUUUGGUUCCAAAGAAGAUACAUGAACGCUCACCUGUAUUCCUUGGUAGCUAUGACGAUGUCGAGGAAAUUAAGGCACUCUAUGCUGCUGCCGAGAGAGAAGGCGCAUGAACCUGUGGAUCUCACAAUAAUCAUAAAUGUUCUUUAUGUAAUGUUUGCGAUUCCUUCAAAUUAGCAACCAAUACAGUCACCGGAGAAAACUUCUGUCUUCUGCUCUGUCAUCAAAAGCAAACCAGAAGAAGACUGUUUAGAAGUUCAUUGUUUCCCAUUUUGUCAAGACUUCUCGAUGGUGAAAGCAGUCUAAUAAUUCACACACAUAUAUAUAUAUCAGCACAAGUAGCAUGAGAAACAGAGAGCAACAAAGGUGGUAUUUUUGGAUGCGGAUUCAACUGUAGCUUUCAGAUGGUUGUGAAAUAACAUACUCCACUGAGAUUUAUGAGACUCAAAUCAAUUAUAAU